GGGACGUUCCAAAGGUCGGACACCUAAUCCUUAGGAUUUUUGCAGGGAGCUCAUAGAUCCAAGAUCUUCCGAAUAAAAUGGGCUGUGUUAGCAAAAUAUGUUUCUCAUAGCGAUGCCCGAAAACCGGAAACACCCACUUAUAGUGUAGCUGUAAAUUUUACGUUCUGGUGUUGGUACUUCUUCUUGUGACAAUGACAACCCUUACAAGAGUUUAAUGCUGGACAUUAGUAGUUGCUCUGCCUGUAUUCGUUUGCUCAUGGUGAAUAUCUCUAUGGAUGUUGUGUGUUACUUUGUACACAUUGAAUUACUUACAUCGUUUGAUAGUCAAACUUGUUGGUAUGUGUAGUGUAGAUUCAUAAAAGUACUUGGUACAAAACUAAAUAUCCUCUA